UACGUAGGGGGCAAGCGUUGUCCGGAAUCAUUGGGCGUAAAGCGCGUGUAGGCGGCUCGAUAAGUCUGCUGUGAAAGUUCAGGGCUCAACCCUGAAAUGCCGGUGGAAACUGUCGGGCUAGAGUCCGGAAGAGGCGAGUGGAAUUCCGGGUGUAGCGGUGGAAUGCGUAGAGAUCCGGAAGAACGCCAGUGGCGAAGGCGGCCCGCUGGGCAGUGGCUGACGCUGAGGCGCGACAGCGUGGGGAGCAAACAGG
rnacentral:rRNA from 1 species